rnacentral:rRNA from 1 species
UACGUAGGUGGCGAGCGUUGUCCGGAUUUACUGGGCGUAAAGGGCGUGCAGGCGGUUUGUUAAGUGCAGGGUGAAAGCUCCCGGCUCAACUGGGAGAGGUCCUUGCAUACUGGCGAACUCGAGGGAGGCAGAGGAAAGUGGAAUUCCCGGUGUAGUGGUGAUAUGCGUAGAUAUCGGGAGGAACACCUGUGGCGAAGGCGGCUUUCUGGGCCUUACCUGACGCUGAGAAGCGAAAGCGUGGGGAGCGAACCGG